rnacentral:misc_RNA from 1 species
GCAUUCCUCUUUGACGAUACCCGUCCAUUGGCACAAGGCACAAUGGGUUGGGCAGUCAUUCUAAGAGAAGCGUGAACGCUAGACAAGGGCAAAAAAGAGGAUCCGGUAAGACCCCUUUGCCCAUAUCAGGUUCCAUAUCCAAGAUACCAAGCAAUGCUCAAUGGGCCACAACAUCAAUGCAAGCAUCAACGAUAUGGUGCAAAGAGACAGCUUCAGGGUUCAUCUUAUGCCACCUAAAUGACACAAAAUGAAGUUGGCUUCGAUUGACAAACGAUACCUUAAGAUAGGUAGGCAACACAGGAAACCCACAACUUGCAUAGGCAUUUAGAGCCUAAGCAUGCGUCUGAAGAGGUAAGUCGGGUGGCAGUUGUUGCGCAAGCAAA